rnacentral:rRNA from 1 species
AAUCAACGCUGGCGGCGUGCCUCAGACAUGCAAGUCGUACGAUUAAAGCUCUCUUCGGAGAGUGUAUAGAGUGGCGCACGGGUGAGUAACACGUAAGUAAUCUACCUUCGAGUGGGGAAUAACAGUCGGAAACGACUGCUAAUACCGCAUAAUGCAGCGGCACCUAAUGGUGACAGUUGUUAAAGCAUUUAUGUGCUUGAAGAGGAGCUGCGGCAGAUUAGCUAGUGUAAGUAAUGGCUUACCAAGGCAACGAUCUGUAGCCGACCUGAGAGGGUGGUCGGUCANACUGACACUGAAUAACGGGUCAGACUCC